GACGAACGCUGGCGGCGUGCUUAACACAUGCAAGUCGUGCGGUAAGGCCCUUUCGGGGGUACACGAGCGGCGAACGGGUGAGUAACACGUGGGUGACCUGCCCUCAGCUCUGGGAUAAGCCUGGGAAACCGGGUCUAAUACUGGAUAUGACUCCAUGACGCAUGUUGUGGGGUGGAAAGCCUUGUGCGGCUGAGGAUGGGCCCGCGGCCUAUCAGCUUGUUGGUGGGGUGANGGCCCACCAAGGCGACGACGGGUAGCCGGCCUGAGAGGGCGACCGGCCACACUGGGACUGAGACACGGCCCAGACUCCUACGGGAGGCAGCAGUGGGGAAUCUUGCGCAAUGGGCGAAAGCCUGACGCAGCGACGCCGCGUGAGGGAUGACGGCCUCGGUGUAAC
rnacentral:rRNA from 1 species